CCUCUCUGGAACUUAAGCGCACUUCUCCUGAGCUUGGUUCUUGGGAAUCCUCUCUAUAAUAACACACAGAACAGAGCACGCUCGGAUAACGUUAGCAGCCUUAAUACAUCCAGCGCUCACUUAAACACAUCCAAGGAACAUUCCGAGGGUCUGUUACUGCCUAGCGGAGUGGCACAGGCAAGAGAACAUGGACAGUGCCAAAAAAAGAACCAUUGGGAAAAAACUACUCUAGGCUGUACUUUGAAAACUAGCCUAACUAACAAACAGCAACACACUAAUUGACUACACUUGGCUACGCGAUUAGGAAAAUACAAGGGGUGGCACCUGCCCUCUAACCCAGGGUGUCUAAACAAUGAUCAAACCUACAUGGUGGAAUGUAGGUGUGCACACAUACUUACCUGUUCUCAAACCACAUGAGCUAGCAUGAUGGGGGCAACUAGCAGACAGGGUGGCAACUAGCAGAUGGGGGGGCAGAGCAAACAAGGAGUGAGGAAAAAUAGAAACCAGCCAAUCAGUUUUCAAGUCAUCUUCAGGAAUCUUCUGUCCUGGAUGAUGUCAAACUGGAAGAAUGUACAGUAUCUCCAGCUGUAUCCAUCUCUAUGUCUGUAUAUGCAAUGAUUUUGCUUUUGUUAUUCUCUAUUAAAAU